rnacentral:antisense_RNA from 1 species
CUUCACCGAACCCAACAACAACGGACGAUCAACAGCACGGUCACGCCCAUAAGUGGCCAGCAACGCCUGAGCCUC